AGAUACAGCAGAUGAAUGCAAGCAAGUAAGUAAAUAAAAUAUACAAAAGCAUGAACACCCACUAAACAAGAAAAUCACAAAAGCUAGGAGGGACUCGCUUAGGGAAGAUGGACCAGCAAGAGGUCAACUUCUUAAUUCCCCAGCAGAGUCGCCAGUUGUCGCAACCUGAAAAAUACAGUGUGCGAAAAAACAACCGGCGAAAGAAAAUGACAGAAGAGUCG
rnacentral:lncRNA from 1 species